rnacentral:rRNA from 1 species
UUAGCAAUAGUGGUGAAAGUGGCGAACGGGUGAGUAACACGUAGGUAACCUGCCCUGAAGCGGGGGAUAACGGCUGGAAACGGUCGCUAAUACCGCAUGAGCCCAUUGAAUCGGGAGAGAGAUGGGGAAAAUCACGGUGCUUCAGGAGGGGCCUGCGUCCGAUUAGCUAGUUGGUGAGGUAACGGCUCACCAAGGCGACGAUCGGUAGCUGGUCUGAGAGGACGAUCAGCCACACGGGAACUGAGACACGGUCCCGACUCCUACGGGGGGCAGCAGUGAGGAAUAUUGGGCAAUGGGCGGAAGCCUGACCCAGCAACGCCGCGUGGAGGAUGAAGGCCUUCGGGUCGUAAACUCCUUUUGACGGGGAAGAGGAAGGACGGUACCCGUCGAAUAAGUCACGGCUAACUACGUGCCAGCAGCCGCGGUAAUACGUAGGUGACAAGCGUUAUCCGGAAUUACUGGGCGUAAAGCGCACGCAGGCGGCUGCUUAAGUCUGACGUAAAAUCUCCUGGCUUAACUGGGAGGGGUCGUUGGAAACUGAGUAGCUUGAGGCAGUGAGAGGGGUGUAGAAUUCCCGGUGUAGUGGUGGAAUGCGUAGAUAUCGGGAGGAAUACCAGAGGCGAAGGCGACACCCUGGCACUGGCCUGACGCUCAUGUGCGAAAGCGUGGGGAGCGAACGGGAUUAGAUACCCCGGUAGUCCACGCUGUAAACGAUGAGUACUAGGUGUAGGUAGAGUGAAAUCUGUCUGUGCCGAAGCAAACGCGAUAAGUACUCCGCCUGGGGAGUACGGCCGCAAGGCUAAACUCAAAGGAAUUGACGGGGGCCCGCACAAGCAGCGGAGCGUGUGG